AUUAUGCCUAAGUGAUUUUGGUGGUUGAUGACAGUACCUCAGUAGACUAAUAGUGUUCAUUGAGCAUUUCAGAUAAUACAUGACAAAGGUACAAGACGAUUCGGCACCUCUCCGGGGAAUUGAAGCACGGUGUCUUCUACAAUUUUCUUUAGUGAUUUUGAGUCGUAGGAACGCCGUACUAUUAAGAGGGGAUCCGUGUCGGAAAGGUUUGGGUGGAAACAAUCUCGCACGCACACAUUUUAUC
rnacentral:lncRNA from 1 species